rnacentral:rRNA from 1 species
AUGGCCGAAUGCUUCAAUAGGGUGCUCAAAGGUGCACGUGGAUUACCCGUGACGGAAAUAGUUCCAUACACAUUUGAUAAGAUGAACGCGUACUUUCUAAAGUACUCGAUGGAAACUGAUGCACAGAUAGCGGGUGAGAACCCGCGCAAGUACAAGUACAAGUUCCCACCAAAUGUUGAUGAAUGGUUAGAAUUUCAAUCACGAAGGGACUCAGAAGAAGCUAUAUUAUAUGACAACGAAGAGUGGAAGUACGAAGUGAAAGAGCGAGGAGGAACCACAAACGAUGGCCGGCAACAUGGAGGUCGGGCUCUCAAGGUGUCGUUAACACAAUGUGAUUGCUCUUGCGGGAGGCCAUUGUUGCUUCAUCUCCCAUGCUCACACUUGUAUACCGUCGAUCGCGUUAGAAAUGUGGACAUCAAUCACCCACGCAUCAUGAGGGAGUUGGAGUUCUCAAUCAUGACGGUCAAGAAAACAUGGGCUCCCCGCUUUCACCCAUACUUUGACCAAUCACAUUGGCCGGAGUACCAUGGAGUUCAACUGUGGCCGGAUCCG